rnacentral:tRNA from 1 species
GCUACCUUAGCAUAGUUGGUUAUUGUACCUGAUUCGUAAUGCAUCGUUAGAUCAGGAGGUCGCGUGUUCGAAUCACGCAGGUAGCU